rnacentral:rRNA from 1 species
CCUACGGGAGGCAGCAGUGAGGAAUAUUGGUCAAUGGACGAGAGUCUGAACCAGCCAAGUAGCGUGAAGGAUGACUGCCCUAUGGGUUGUAAACUUCUUUUAUAUGGGAAUAAAAUGUUCCACGUGUGGGAUUUUGUAUGUACCAUAUGAAUAAGGAUCGGCUAACUCCGUACCAGCAGCCGCGGUAAUACGGAGGAUCCGAGCGUUAUCCGGAUUUAUUGGGUUUAAAGGGAGCGUAGGUGGAUUGUUAAGUCAGUUGUGAAAGUUUGCGGCUCAACCGUAAAAUUGCAGUUGAAACUGGCAGUCUUGAGUACAGUAGAGGUGGGCGGAAUUCGUGGUGUAGCGGUGAAAUGCUUAGAUAUCGCGAAGAACUCCGAUUGCGAAGGCAGUUCACUGGACUGCAACUGACACUGAGACUCGAAAGUGUGGGUAUCAAACAGGAUUAGAUACCCGGGUAGUC